AGAUCAUUCCCUUCAACUCACUUUAUUACCUUGCGGGUUGAGUCAGCCUAUAUGGACGACUCACAACCUAAUUUUCCAACGGAACAAAAUGUUUUUAUCCCUUGAAUUUGAAUACAUGUCACUCCUAUAGAGAAAAUAGCAAUAUUGAAGUUCAAAGUUGAGACUAAGUCAAAAGAAGCAUUCUCUUUUAGAAAUUUAAUGGAGCAACAUGGAUGGCUGAGUAUGAAGUCAUAACAAGAGUGACCCCUGUCAUCCUGAAACGGAUAUUCAAGAUGCGGCUCCUUUAAGUCAUAUGGGUCGUUUCUCAUCUGCAUCAACUUGGGCUAACUUGGGUCACUUGAUAAAUAGUGUAGUGGACAAAACUUACGAGUCAACUGAGUUAUCAGCAACUUCUUCUUAUCUCUCACGCCUUUCAAUGGAUUUAUCUCUGUAUCAAAGAGAAAUAAAUUACCAAAGUUUUACUGGCCAAUAACAAACAAGAACACGCAGAAAUCGUGAAGUCAGAUACUAAAAUCAAAAUUGCGAUCGAAGAGAUGAACUCAUGCUGGUUAAAAGCAUGCAAGAGUGCAAUGUAAUAUGAAAUUUCAGGUACAUUGGAUGCAUGCAAUUGAGAAUUGGAACUGGAAUUUCUAUUAACAGAAGUAUCAGAUCUAAAUCGGAGUUCUUAUGAAACCACACCAUCUAAAAGCUUGAGUCAUUAUGUCUAGGAGAACACUUAUAUUUAUUUCAAUUUAGUCUUUAACAUACCCCAUUUACGAGGCUGGAUUCAAUUAUAGCCUGUUUGACAACCAUUAUUGUAGAAAAAAAGUUUUGAAUUUCUAGGAGAAUGUGUGUUUGAAAGUAGAAUUUUUUUUUUGGCAUAUGUGUAGAAUAUUUUAUUGUGUGAAUGUAUGAUUAAUAAUGAUCCUGUAACAAACUAUAAAAUAAAUUAAUGGUUGUCAAACAUGCCUUUAAUAUCCAAGGCCUUAAAUUUGAUCCAUUUUCACAAACGGAUGACGAGAAUACUUGAGCCUUUAAUAUAGCUGUACUCUAAUACCAAAUUGAACCUUCAUAUCUAAAAGGUUUAGGCUUAAGCUAUACGAAUAACAAAUUUAUUUAUUUAAAUUUUAUCUUUAAACACCUUAUUACGUGCUUCGAGGAGUCAAGAAUUUCCUAAGAAUUUCUCUUCUAAUUUUAUAGUUAUAGUAGUUUUUUUUAAAGAGACAAUUCAAAGUGCUUAUUGUAUAUUUACUUGAAAGCCAACUCACGUAUCCACUUUAUUUUUAUUAUGAUGAUGUAUCGUGUCAGGAUCCAUUGCUCAAACCGAAUCACACCAACGCUUUGGAACUUCGUGUAUAAAAAUUUACUAAAAAUAUAAUUUUUAGCUACACCAAAUAGGGGUAUCUCACAAUACAAAUAUGAAAUACAAAUAAACACGAAAUUCAUGCAUGUAUCCAUUGAGUCAUCUAAACAAAUAAUUGAAAGAUUUCAACUAUAACCGGCAUAUAGUUACACAAACAAUUCAUAAUUCAUAACAUGCAACAUAAUCAAUCAGGAAAUUAAUUACCUCGAGGAAGAUCGUAGGGUUUACCUCCAUAAACAUUAAUAGUGGGUAAUAUAUUCCGAAUUGGGGGAUCCAAAAUUUUCUUCUUCAAGUAGUAAGAAACAAGGUCGAUAUCUGAGGGUCUAAAUCUAAACCUUGGUGCAAACUUCAUAGAAACUCUCUUUGACCCACCCUUGAAAGAAAUUGAACAAUCCAUUUGCAUUUAAAUAGAUACAAGUACAAUAAUUUAUACGUAUAAGCACCUAGUAUGGUGGCUGGGACGAGGUGGAAUAGCUUUAUGUAAAUUUGGGGGAAUAGCAUCA
rnacentral:lncRNA from 1 species